UCCCUUUAAAAUUUUCGUAUCCCGCUCCUAAUUCCCCCAAUCUCAAUCUCUCUCUCUCUCUCUCUCUCUCUCUCUCAAAACCUAAAACUGACUAUGCCAAUUCACGAUGUCAGCCCUAGAUCGACGAAGAUUCACUGAUGAUUCCUCAAUCGUUCCUCCACAUCACCGAAGAUUCACCAAUUCUUCUGCAUAAAACCUAGAUCGACGACUCCUUAAUCGUUCCUCUAACCAAUUUCUGUCACACUUUUGCUGUAUCAUGGCACGUAGGCAGAUGUCGUGGUUUAGUGGCAGGAGUCGGCAGAGGGCAAGUUCGAUUCUCCCGUCCCGUUCGUCAUCUUUCUAGGGUUCCAACAUGAGCAGAUCAGGUCAACCUCCAGAUCUUAAAAAGUAUAUGGACAAGCAACUACAGAGUUUUCAAUCGGAUUCAGCCGUCAUUAAGCUGUUUUAUCGCUGUUUGGAUUGGAUAUGAUGGGAUGUACUACUACAAAUAUCAGAAAGGGCCAUGGCCAUUAAUAUUUCACUUUGCAUUGGUUUUAUUAGAUCGAAAGGUUGAACGUGAUUAUCCAAGAUACAGUGAAAGAAAAAGAAAGGUUGAACGAUAUUAUUGCAGAAUUGGUGGUGGAAAAAGAGAGAUAAGGCGGAGAAAGAGGCUACGAAUGAAAGGAUGGCAAACAUUGAAGCGAUGCUAAAAGCUAGGUUUCAAAACGUAUAAUCAUCGACUUAGGUUUCAAAACGUAUAAACACUUUGUUUUGAAUACAGUUAUGAUAACUUUGGUAUUUGAUGUUUCAAGUGGGAUGUUUUAUAUAAUUGUGAAAAUUUGAUAAUAUGUAAAAUUUAAAAUUGACAUUA